GCAGUUGUGGCCUACUGGUUAGGGCUUCGGGCUAGGACCGAAGGGUUGCUGGUUCAAUUCCCGACCAGUAGGA
rnacentral:tRNA from 1 species